rnacentral:tRNA from 1 species
UCCCUUGUGGCUUAGCAGGUAAAGAAUCUGCCUGCAAUGCGGGAGACCUGGGUUCAAUCCCUGCGUUGGGA